rnacentral:rRNA from 1 species
AAUACAUAGCAUGCAAGAAGGCAGACCCGGAGAACUGAAACAUCUUAGUACCCGGAGGAAGAGAAAGAAAAAUCGAUUCCCUGAGUAGCGGCGAGCGAAACGGGAAGAGCCCAAACCAAUAAGCUUGCUUAUUGGGGUUGUAGGACACUCUGUACGGAGUUACAAAAGAAUUUGUUAGACGAAUAACCUGGAAAGGUUAAUCAGAGAAGGUAAUAAUCCUGUAGUCGAAAACGAAUUCUCUCUUGAGUGGAUCCUGAGUACGACGGAGCACGUGAAAUUCCGUCGGAAUCUGGGAGGACCAUCUCCUAAGGCUAAAUACUCUCUAGUGACCGAUAGUGAACCAGUACCGUGAGGGAAAGGUGAAAAGUACCCCGGAAGGGGAGUGAAAGAGAACUUGAAACCGUGUGCUUACAAGUAGUCAGAGCCCGUUAAUGGGUGAUGGCGUGCCUUUUGUAGAAUGAACCGGCGAGUUACGAUCUGAUGCAAGGUUAAGCAGAAAAUGUGGAGCCGUAGCGAAAGCGAGUCUGAAUAGGGCGAAUGAGUAUUUGGUCGUAGACCCGAAACCAGGUGAUCUACCCUUGGUCAGGUUGAAGUUCAGGUAACACUGAAUGGAGGACCGAACCGACUUACGUUGAAAAGUGAGCGGAUGAACUGAGGGUAGCGGAGAAAUUCCAAUCGAACUUGGAGAUAGCUGGUUCUCUCCGAAAUAGCUUUAGGGCUAGCCUCAAGUGAUGAUUAUUGGAGGUAGAGCACUGUUUGGACGAGGGGCCCCUCUCGGGUUACCGAAUUCAGACAAACUCCGAAUGCCAAAUAAUUUAACUUGGGAGUCAGAAUGUGGGUGAUAAGGUCCAUAUUCGAAAGGGAAACAGCCCAGACCACCAGCUAAGGUCCCAAAAUAUAUGUUAAGUGGAAAAGGAUGUGGCGUUGCCCAGACAACUAGGAUGUUGGCUUAGAAGCAGCCAUCAUUUAAAGAGUGCGUAAUAGCUCACUAGUCGAGUGACACUGCGCCGAAAAUGUACCGGGGCUAAACAUAU